rnacentral:lncRNA from 1 species
UCAGAACCAGGAAGUGGAAGAGGAGGAGUUUGGACCUCGGCUGCCUCCUCCUUCCUCUACAUUGACGGGGCGCCGUCCGUCCCCAACUCCCUCUGCUAAGGACGACAAACACAAGAAGAAGUGUAAGGAGAAGCACAAAGCCAAGAAACACGGCAAGCACAAGAAGGACAAAAAGAAGAAGAAGCACAAGAGGCACAAGCACAAAGGCAAGCAGAAGAAGAGCAGUAGGAAGGAGUCUUCAUCAUCAGGCAGCAGCUCAGAGGGGAGUGACGGGAACGGCCAGGAGGACGGAGAGGAGGGAGGAGGGGUGUCAACAGAAGAGCUGCUCAGAAGGUUGAAGAGCAUCCGUGGGAAGAAUCAGCAGUGAAUCUAUAAUCCGACAGACAGGAUCCAUCAUGUCCUCUAUGAGGAUGGAUACCUGGAUACCUGGAGACGGGAGUCAGGAACCAUUCUGUAUAUGGCAUUUAGGAAUUCCAAUAGCCCUGUACCGAUGCUGAUGAAAGAGGGGCUUACUUUACAUUUUAAAUUGUAAUUCUCAUAAGAUGUGAGUUUUUGCUGAUCAAUGUCUUGGGCUGAUAUGUUGAGAGAUAUUGAUUUGUUGCUAUCGUCUGUUAAUCAAUAAAAAAGUAGAUUUUUUUUGUUGUAAUCUGUCUCUGCAUUAUCAUCAUGCCAUUCCAGAUUGUCUGUGAUGUGCCACGUCUGGUGACAAGGCUCUGGAGUUGUUACGAUCCCAUCACGUAUCAUUAAAUGGAUAAAAAGUUGAGCUAAAUACAUUUGGAAAGUAUUCAGACCCUUUUGACUUUUUCCACAUUUUGUUACGUUACAGCCUUAUUCUAUAAUUUUUUUUUUUUUUAAAUCCCCCUCAAUCUACACACAGUACCCCAUAAUGACGUCACAAUACCCCAUAAU